UCACUCCUUCGUUUAUGUGUGUGUGUGUAUUAAAAGGCUACAAAUAAUAGAAACAAAAACAAAAGGUCUACAAACUAAAUUACAAACGAAUCAAAGGCUUCUGCUCCGCGCGGGCGGUGUCCGUGUCGGAGUCCGAGCCGUAGCCGGAGCCGGAGUUCGGAGUCCGGAGGCCGAAAGUUAAAGCUUCAGUGGCGACCCGAGGUUUGUUCUAAAUACGCUCUAUUAUUUUCACUAUAGUAUGUAUAUAUCGUAUGUCUAGAGGUAUUCGUAUCUAUAUAUAUGUAUAUGCCGUUGAGGGAUCUGCCCAGCACGAGGAUUGUUCUUUUAAUUGCUAAUAGUUGCUAAAACGUAUGUAUAUAUAUAUCAUAUAUGGAUGUAUAUAUAGGUGUAUAUGUGAGUGUGUGUGUGUGUCUGACUCUUCACUAGAGAAUUAGUGCACAGAAUUGUUGUCUUCUAGCUUAAGGUGAAGUGUGUUGUGUUGUGUUUUCUUUUCUUAUCAUUUUCUUUUGUCUUAGUUUCUUAGUUAGGGAUUUCCCACCUUCUUCCUCUCUCUCUUGGUUUUUUGUACGUUCAGCGCUCGAAUUUCAGGGUUCAAUUUUGUUACUCUUUGCGUUUCACAAAUCUUGACAAUUUACACAGUUUUCGUUUACAGUAUUCUCAUUCUUUCAAACAAAGAAAGAAACAAACAAACAACGAAAAAGGCCAAAAAUGAGUUCGAAUCAAACGCUGUCCUGUCUUGUCCCUAUCUCUAUCUCUGUCUCUGUCUUUCUGUGACCUGUCUCCAUCCUCCUUUUCUCGUACCUCUCUUUUCCCUCAGUCCAACUGCUUAUACAUCUAACAAAUUCCGGAUUCCUCGAACAAUUUGAAUAAGUCAACAGAAAUCAUAAGGUCAAAGGCUACAAUACAGGGGGAUGACGAUCCAGAAUCAGUAAUCAAGAAUCGAUAAUCAGAAACUCAAAAAAACAAAAGCAAAUGCUAUCACAGUAAAAAACUUAAAGUUGCCAUAUUUGAAUUUUAAUAGUUUACAAUUUUAUUGCAAUUGUUUUACUCAUUCGUCAUCCGUCCUCCGUAAUUCGUUCUCCGUCAUGCGUCAUGCGUCAUCCUACGUCCGGAGUCGGCGAUUUGCGAUCUGACGAUCUGUCGAUCCGCCGUGAUCUGUGAUGCACUCGCGGUGGAUCGAUCUAUCAAUCGCCUUGCCUAUGCCUACGGUUUUACGUUUUAUUUUAUGUACAACAGAGUAGUAGUGUUUAUGCUCAACAGAACAGAGAAGGUAUAACAACAUGCUUAUGGCGCUAUGGCUUACGGCUUUCGGCUUACGGCUUACGGCUCUCAACUUAAAAUGAAAUC
rnacentral:sRNA from 1 species